rfam:Acidovorax citrulli AAC00-1, complete genome.
GGCGAGAGUAGAAGCGUUCAGCACGGCAGCGGCCCUCUUGCGUGGGGCUGGCGGUCGGCGGGUCAUUGCUCUUGAA